GGUAAAAUGGCUGAGUACUCAGGCGGCGGAUUGUAGCUCCGUAUACAGAGGUUUAAAUCCUUUUUUUAUCA
rnacentral:tRNA from 1 species